GUUUGUUAGUUGGCACAUGGGAGACUGCCGCUAGAAAGUUUAAAUCUUUAGCCCGCAACAUUAAAUCCCCCGCGAAACAGAGGCUUUUCCCCCUCCCACUCUUCUAUUUUCUCACAUUUUCAUAUAUUCCCGCUCUCCCCCCUCUCUCUCUCCCAGUCGACCUCUAGGUGCUCCUCUCACAGUCUUCUCGCACCAUUGAAGACAUCGAACCGGCGAUUUGUAUUCCUGCUCUCCUCUCUAUUUCUUGGUCGAUCAUUUCUGAUUUCUCUUUGCUCAUUUUCUCACGGUCUUCCUACACCAUCAAAUAACACCCAACCGGCAAUGGCAUUGGCAAUGACAGACUUCCUUGGAUUUGAAGCUCUGAAGCUCGAGUUCAUUUCCUGACAGCAUCGACAAUUUUAGACCACUUCUUAGAGUGUAGUAAGAAGUGGGAGACCUCCUUGCAUUUGAAGCUUGAGUUCAUUUCCCGACGAAGUAGAUUUCUCGUAAUCAGGCCACAAUCUUCUUGGUUCAACGAAGGUUGUCUCUCUUCAGCAACUUUGUUUUUCUUUGUUCUGAAAUAGCCUCCUCGUCUCAGGUUCUGCGCACACCGCAUAUCCUUGUUCGUUCAUCACCGAUGGAAGGAACACGCUUGGCCAUUUCUGUCCGUGGAGAUGAACCCUGCGAGGAGUUGGAUAUUCUCAAAGAUGUUGAUGCUACAAUGCUUCUACAUAAUCUACCAUCUAAAGAAAGUGUCAGUAGAGUACAUGCAGUGAGGAGCCUCGAAGGUUUGAUGAGAGACUGCAGAAUGAGUUGCAACUCCUGUUGUAUCAGUUGUGCUUGUUUGGUGGGGAGGUUCAGUUUGUUGAGGCCACAACUAUGGCAGGAAAGGGGGAUGUGCGUCUUACUGGGCAACUUGGUGAUGUUAUCAAAGAAUCAGCACAGAUAGCACUUACAUGGGUAAGAGCGAGGGUAGCAGAUCUUAAGUUGGCAGCUGCUGGGGAAAUCAAUUUGAUGGAGGGACGAGAUAUUCAUAUACAUUUUCCUGCUGGGGCUGUACCAAAGGAUGGACCCUCAGGUGGUGUGAUCCUGGUAAUAUCACUGGUGUCACUCUUCAGUCAAAAAAGAGUAAGAGCAGGCACAACAAUGACAGGAGAGAUGACAUUGUAGGGUCUGCUAUUACCAGUUGGUGGCAUUAAAGAUAAGGUUGUAGGAUUGAUCAAGGAUUGGAUUUCAAUAGCUAAUCUAUCAAAGAAAGCUUCACAUUCAUAGGAACAUUCUACUCCCGACAUCUAAGUGGUCCUUGACUUGGGUGAAACCCUGGUAUGUGCAUAUGAGACAUCUAGCUUGCCUGCAAUAGUCCGUAAUCAAGCAAUAGAAGCUGGGCUGAAGUGGUUUGAGCUGGAAUGUGUAUCAUCAUAUAAGAUCUGUUUAAUAGUUUUUUUGUCAUUUAUCCAGUUAUCUAUCCAUAACUCAUUAUACAUGGAAGAAACUUAAUCGAACAUACACUGUUUUUGAAGGAUCUGAUGGAAAAUCCAAGGUCAAUCAUGUCACAGUGUUUGAAUGUCCAGGUUUGCGAGAAUUCUUGAAGCAGACAAGUGUAGCAGGUGCCAUGAAUUGCCAUAUGGCUGGUAAAGUCAGUGGAUUUGGUUCCCACUGACCUGGGACUAAUUCCUGCCUUCACCCUCCUCACCCCCAAACUCAAAGUUUACCAAAGCCAAAAAAUUGUUUAGAAAAAAACUGGGCUCAACUUUAUUGACAAGCAUUAUUUUGUGGUGCUUUAUUUAGUCCAGGGGGACACUGAGAAAAAGAUUAUAAAUGAUAUAUUUGAGGAAGUUGACAAGCAUAUAAGUGAGGAGACACUUAUCACUGAAUUUAAAAUGAUAUAUAUGCGGAUGGUCAGAUUGGUUUGCCAGAUUCGAGCCAUGGUGGAUCUUAUGGAAGGAGUGACGAGUCAACCCCCCUAGAACAUCAGUUAUUUGCAUCAGAAGGAGCAAUCAAGUUUCCAGUUGAAGAGACAAAAGCCUGGAAGGAGAAGAUCAAGAGGCUUCAUCUGUUGCUUACUGUGAAGGAGUCUGCAAUGGAUGUACCAACCCUUCAGAAGCUAGAAGGCGUAUUUCUUUUUUCUCAAAUUCAUUGUUUAUGGACAUGCCACCUGCCCUGAAGUUCGCAAUAUGCUUUCUUUUUUCGAGCCUUUUCAUCUGGAACUGUUAUGCUCAAGUCCAUUCAUAAUUUUCAAACGCAUGAACGGUUUGAUGCCAAGCCAACCGUUUAUUUUCAUUGUCAAGGGGAGAACAAGACAACUUUACCAGAUAUGAAGGAAGCACUCCACAUAUAUACCUUCAAAGGAGAAGAAUCCUGGCAAGUUCGAACCAGGUUUCUAGUACAAUUUGAAACCCUAUCAUUUAGACCAAAUGUUAUUUGACUUGUAAAAAUCUCUUGAAAAGCUGUGCUGCAUAGCAUAAGUGCCAGCUUUUACUAAUGGAUGUUGUAUCUGCCACGAUUGCAUUCUGGUGGUUCUCCAAUUCCUUGUAUGGUCAAGUGGACUGCUUGAAAAAGUAUUCAUCUUCUUUGGAUUUUGGGAGAAGAUUUUGUAAAUCAAGCGUUUUUAAUUUUAAUAAAGGAUGAUGAAAUUUGUAUUAAAGUGGGUCGUGGUCAUUUUUGUAAAUUGCUGUACUAAAGAGAACGGAUGAUGAUUUUUUUUGUAAAUUUAUAUGUUUUGAAUGGAAUAGAGUUUUAA